CCUACGGGAGGCAGCAGUGGGGAAUAUUGCACAAUGGGGGAAACCCUGAUGCAGCGACGCCGCGUGAGCGAAGAAGUAUUUCGGUAUGUAAAGCUCUAUCAGCAGGGAAGAAAAUGACGGUACCUGAGUAAGAAGCUCCGGCUAAAUACGUGCCAGCCGCCGCGGUAAUACGUAUGGAGCAAGCGUUAUCCGGAUUUACUGGGCGUAAGGGGAGCGUAGGCGGCCUGCCAAGUCUGAUGUGAAAUACCGGGGCGCAACCCCGGGGCUGCAUUGGAAACUGGCAGGCUGGAGUGCCGGAGAGGCAGGCGGAAUUCCUAGUGUAGCGGUGAAAUGCGGAGAUAUUAGGAGGAACACCAGUGGCGAAGGCGGCCUGCUGGACGGUGACUGACGCUGAGGCUCGAAAGCGUGGGGAGCAAACAGGAUUAGAUACCCCGGUAGUC
rnacentral:rRNA from 1 species